GACGAACGCUGGCGGCGUGCUUAACACAUGCAAGUCGAGCGGUAAGGCCCUUUCGGGGGUACACGAGCGGCGAACGGGUGAGUAACACGUGGGUGACCUGCCUUUAGCUCUGGGAUAAGCCUGGGAAACCGGGUCUAAUACCGGAUAUGACUCCGCGGCGCAUGUUGUGGGGUGGAAAGCCUUGUGCGGCUGGAGAUGGGCCCGCGGCCUAUCAGCUUGUUGGUGGGGUGAUGGCCUACCAAGGCGACGACGGGUAGCCGGCCUGAGAGGGCGACCGGCCACACUGGGACUGAGACACGGCCCAGACUCCUACGGGAGGCAGCAGUGGGGAAUCUUGCGCAAUGGGCGAAAGCCUGACGCAGCGACGCCGCGUGAGGGAUGACGG
rnacentral:rRNA from 1 species